rnacentral:rRNA from 1 species
UUAGAGUUUGUUUCUGGCUCAGGAUGAACGCUAGCGGCAGGCUUAACACAUGCAAGUCGAGGGGCAGCGAGAUCAGUGCUUGCACUGAUUGUCGGCGACCGGCGCACGGGUGCGUAACGCGUAUGCAACCUACCCAUUACAGGGGGAUAACACUGAGAAAUCGGUACUAAUACCCCAUAACAUCCAGGGAGGCAUCUUCUUGGGUUGAAAACUCCGGUGGUAAUGGAUGGGCAUGCGUUGUAUUAGUUAGUUGGUGGGGUAACGGCUCACCAAGACAACGAUACAUAGGGGGACUGAGAGGUAACCCCCCACAUUGGUACUGAGACACGGACCAAACUCCUACGGGAGGCAGCAGUGAGGAAUAUUGGUCAAUGGACGCAAGUCUGAACCAGCCAUGCCGCGUGCAGGAAGACGGCUCUAUGAGUUGUAAACUGCUUUUGUACGAGGGUAAACGCAGAUACGCGUAUCUGUCUGAAAGUAUCGUACGAAUAAGGAUCGGCUAACUCCGUGCCAGCAGCCGCGGUAAUACGGAGGAUUCAAGCGUUAUCCGGAUUUAUUGGGUUUAAAGGGUGCGUAGGCGGUCGGAUAAGUUAGAGGUGAAAUCCCGGGGCUCAACUUCGGAAUUGCCUCUGAUACUGUUCGGCUAGAGAGUAGUUGCGGUAGGCGGAAUGUAUGGUGUAGCGGUGAAAUGCUUAGAGAUCAUACAGAACACCGAUUGCGAAGGCAGCUUACCAAGCUACUUCUGACGUUGAGGCACGAAAGCGUGGGGAGCAAAAAGGAUUAGAUACCCUGGUAGUCCACGCAGUAAACGAUGAUAACUCGUUGUCGGCGAUACAGUGUCGGUGACUAAGCGAAAGCGAUAAGUUAUCCACCUGGGGAGUACGUUCGCAAGAAUGAAACUCAAAGGAAUUGACGGGGGCCCGCACAAGCGGAGGAACAUGUGGUUUAAUUCGAUGAUACGCGAGGAACCUUACCCGGGCUUGAAAGUUAGUGACGGAUCUUGAAAGAGGUCUUCCCUUCGGGGCACGAAACUAGGUGCUGCAUGGUUGUCGUCAGCUCGUGCCGUGAGGUGUCGGGUUAAGUCCCAUAACGAGCGCAACCCCUACCGUUAGUUGCCAGCAGGUCAAGCUGGGCACUCUGACGGGACUGCCGGUGUAAGCCGAGAGGAAGGUGGGGAUGACGUCAAAUCAGCACGGCCCUUACGUCCGGGGCUACACACGUGUUACAAUGGCAGGUACAGAGGGCAGCUACCCAGCGAUGGGAUGCGAAUCUCGAAAGCCUGUCUCAGUUCGGAUUGGAGGCUGAAACCCGCCUCCAUGAAGUUGGAUUCGCUAGUAAUCGCGCAUCAGCCAUGGCGCGGUGAAAAGGUUCCCGGGCCUUGCACACACCGCCCGUCA